AGUGAACGCUGGCGGUAGGCCUAACACAUGCAAGUCGAACGGCAGCACAGUAAGAGCUUGCUCUUACGGGUGGCGAGUGGCGGACGGGUGAGGAAUACAUCGGAAUCUACUUUUUCGUGGGGGAUAACGUAGGGAAACUUACGCUAAUACCGCAUACGACCUACGGGUGAAAGCAGGGGAUCUUCGGACCUUGCGCGAUUGAAUGAGCCGAUGUCGGAUUAGCUAGUUGGCGGGGUAAAGGCCCACCAAGGCGACGAUCCGUAGCUGGUCUGAGAGGAUGAUCGGCCACACUGGAACGGAGACACGGUCCAGACUCCUACGGGAGGCAGCAGUGGGGAAUAUUGGACAAUGGACGCAAGCCUGAUCCAGCCAUACCGCGUGGGCGAAGAAGGCCUUCGGGUUGUAAAGCCCUUUUGUUGGGAAAGAAAAGCAGCAGGUUAAUACCCCGCUGUUCUGACGGUACCCAAAGAAUAAGCACCGGCUAACUUCGUG
rnacentral:rRNA from 1 species